UACGUAGGGUGCAGGCGUUAAUUGGAAUUACUGGGCGUAAAGCGUGCGCAGGCGGUUUGCUAAGACAGGUGUGAAAUCCCCGAGCUCAACUCGGGAACUGCGUCCGAUACUGGCGGGCUUGAAUCCGGGAGAGGGAUGCGGAAUUCCAGGUGUAGCGGUGAAAUGCGCAGAUAUCAGGAGGAACACCAGCGGCGAAGGCGGCGCUCUGGGCCGGUACUGACACUGAGGAGCGAAAGCGUGGGUAGCAACAGG
rnacentral:rRNA from 1 species